rnacentral:rRNA from 1 species
UACGGGGGGGGCAAGCGUUGUUCGGAAUUACUGGGCGUAAAGGGCGCGUAGGCGGCCUUCUAAGUCAGACGUGAAAUCCCUCGGCUCAACCGAGGAACUGCGUCUGAUACUGGAAGGCUUGAAUCCGGGAGAGGGAUGGGGAAUUCCAGGUGUAGCGGUGAAAUGCGUAGAUAUCUGGAGGAACACCGGUGGCGAAGGCGGCAUCCUGGACCGGUAUUGACGCUGAGGCGCGAAAGCUAGGGGAGCAAACGGG